rnacentral:lncRNA from 1 species
AUAAAUGUGGGUAAUCAUAAAUUAAUGUGCUCAUGGUUGUGAUGUUGUGUGAUAACAUUUUUACAGUUUAUUAAGCUUUUGUGUUGUGAAUGUUAGAAUAUAUCUACAUCACUCUUUUUUUUUUUUUUAAGUAGCAAUGAAUUUCUUGUUUUCCAUGAUGUGCAGCAUUCUUUAGAAACAUCUCUUAUAGUUACUCAACAAAUCUCUACAUUGAAUGCGGAGCAUAUUUUCAUAAUCUCCGGCUGGUUCAUGCACCCCUCCAUUCUCAUCCAUUGCUUUAUGGCAGUACAAUUUGCGGUGAGAGAAACAAACAUCUACAACCAUCAAUAACAGCUCUUCCUGAAAAGUCCACAUAUUCUGUGACAGAAGUAUUUCAAUCAAAUUCCAGAGGUCAAGCAGUAAUUACCCAACAUUCCAGGGCAUUUUGUGGUUGACCAGCAAGUUUGUGUCCCUCCAAUUAGUGCCUGUCCUGUUCCUCAGUAGUACAGAGCAGUUCAAACUUCAGCUGGAAGAGUGGACGCACAAACACAGUGGUGUGGUGUGCUGUGGUCUGUGUAUGAUUGUGUGUGUGUUUGUGUAUUUCAGCACUUCUCUGACUUUACAAGCUGUACCACAACCUUGGAGCGCCCACAACAACUGCUCUUAUGGCUCCUAUAAAGAUUCUCUUGCAUUUUACCCUGCAUGCCAACAGAAAGUGCUCAUUCCAGUAAACACCAUAGACUCCUCUCAUCCGGAUCAUCUCUGACGAAGAGGAACGGCGACAUCUCUGGAGGUCCCUGGGGCUUGACCUUUGACCUUUCCUAUCUGGGGCUUAAACCCUGAUUUAAAGUCACAGUUUGGCCCUCAUGACUGACCCCAAACUCAAAAACCUCAUAAAGAGACAGAGUAGAGAGGCUGGACUGUCCAGUUUCAGUUACACAGGUUUAUUACUUGCCAAACACUGAAAAAAAAAUUAUAAUAAUUUUUUAUAUUACUGCCAUCUCCUGUAUGAUUCAUCUUAGAGUGCAGAGCCAGUGGGAGGAAUCCGUUCAUUGAAUAUGUGCCACCUCAUUCAGCCAAAACUAAGAAUGCAGCAAUGUAAACUAGAGACCUGCCAUGGGCUUUCUUUUGCCAUGGUUUGGGGGCUGGGCAAAGGAAUCACAGAAUGACUGAGGAGAUGUGCCAGAUGGGCAGAUGUUGGCUAAAGGGGAGCAGCAACGGAAAUCCCCUUUAUCCAGGCCAGCGUGCCAACCUGAGGCCAUGCUACCAAAAGCAUACACACCUACUGUCAUAUACUCACAAACAAAUCACUGAAAGGCACAAUAAAUGUGCAUCUUACGAAAUGCCAUUAUUUAAUGAUUUCUGAGCUCUUUCAAAGCAAUUGAUUUGUCCUUUCACGUUUAAAUACAAUGUAUUGAAGUUUCAAUGACAUGAUGCUCAUUAUUGUUCUUCAUUUUUUC